ACUACCCUGCCGAGCUCGUGCUUGGAUAGAUGCGAAACUUUAGCCAACAAAUCCGACAAAGGGAGCCUAACUCUCUUACAUCCUUGGAUAUAAGGGGAGGGCACCCACCUAUACAAAAAAGGACCUAAGUUUUGCGCUUUCACACGGCUCAUGGCAGGGUUUUU
rnacentral:other from 1 species